UACGUAGGGGGCAAGCGUUGUCCGGAUUUAUUGGGCGUAAAGAGCGUGUAGGCGGCCAGACAGGUCCGUUGUGAAAACUCGAGGCUCAACCUCGAGACGCCGGUGGAAACCGUAAAGCUAGAGUCCGGAAGAGGAGAGUGGAAUUCCUGGUGUAGCGGUGAAAUGCGCAGAUAUCAGGAGGAACACCCGUGGCGAAAGCGGCUCUCUGGGACGGUACUGACGCUGAGACGCGAAAGCGUGGGGAGCAAACAGG
rnacentral:rRNA from 1 species